UACGUAGGGGGCAAGCGUUGUCCGGAUUUAUUGGGCGUAAAGAGCGUGUAGGCGGCUUUACAGGUCCGUUGUGAAAACUCGAGGCUCAACCUCGAGACGCCGGUGGAAACCGUAAAGCUAGAGUCCGGAAGAGGAGAGUGGAAUUCCUGGUGUAGCGGUGAAAUGCGCAGAUAUCAGGAGGAACACCCGUGGCGAAAGCGGCUCUCUGGGCUGGAACUGACGCUGAGGAGCGAAAGCGUGGGGAGCGAACAGG
rnacentral:rRNA from 1 species